rnacentral:rRNA from 1 species
UACAGAGGUCUCAAGCGUUGUUCGGAUUCAUUGGGCGUAAAGGGUGCGUAGGUGGCGCGCUAAGUCAGGUGUGAAAUUUCGGAGCUUAACUCCGAAACUGCAUUUGAUACUGGCGUGCUUGAGGACUGGAGAGGAGACUGGAAUUUACGGUGUAGCGGUGAAAUGCGUAGAUAUCGUAAGGAAGACCAGUGGCGAAGGCGGGUCUCUGGACAGUUCCUGACGCUGAGGCACGAAGGCCAGGGGAGCAAACGGGA